GAGCGUCUUGAACGUCUCGCAUUGUAUUUUUUUAGUUUCAUUAUGUGUGCAGUGGUGUCAUAGAAUAAUCUUCUGCGGUGAUGUCUGUCUCAUGUAGUGCUCCAUUGCUUAGUUACAAAAUGACACUCCUAAAAGAUUAUGUCAUUUCUCUCUUUAAGGCACAUCAUAUCAAUAUGCUAUGGAGCGCAAGUGAUAAGCCUGCUAGAUAUAAGGGCUAUAAAAGUUUUUACCUGGUCAAGUACUUGCAUAUUAUCGAUUUCAUUUAGUUUCUUUCCAUUCAAGAAAGUAUCAAAUAUUCAAGUCUGAUCGCUUAGAGAACUUAUUGCUUGCUGAAGAUUUCUUCAUGUGGGCAGAUCAUGGCAAUGCUUAUUGAAUGUUACUUCCUUAAAAAUAUUUCUCGACUAAUAGUGUUUUACAUUUUUUUUUUGUUGCUGCUGUUUGUGGCCUUGUUUGGUUAUUCCAAAAAUGGGUAUUGUGCUUGUUUUGACCAAUUCAAAAAGAGGCAUUUGCAAAUACCUCCCUGGUUUUUUAUUUUUUGCAAGGAUGCCACUUGAAUGACAGUUUUAAUAGCAUUUUUGUAAUUUUCUAGUGGCAAGCUUGCAAUAACAACAGGAGUAGUGAUUUCUUUGCAAUUGUCCCAUUCAAAAAAUAGUGUCGAAUUGUAUCUUUUUUCAACAUUCAAGGCUGCUCCUGUCAAAAUUGUUAUAAACUAUGUCAUGUUGUGCUGAAGAUUUAUUAUUAGGAUAGGGGGAAAUCUAGAUGGUAUUAUCAAUUUCUAGCUAUGGUAGAUAUCAGACAAACCAGACUUUCACUAGAUAUCUGGCGGUUCUGGCUAUGUGUAUGAUUAGGUAGGAUAAGGAUUGCUCACAUCCUUUGUCGUGUUUUACCUUGCUCUGGAGUCUUUUACCUCGUUCCAUUACAAAAGUUAGUCUGUUCUAUCAGCUGCAUAGCCUAAAAUUUAUGCUUUUAUGUUGGGCCAUUGCUUGAUUUUGCAUGUAUUUUUGGAAGGCUAGAAAAUACACAUGAUGGUUUCUACUGCUGCUGGUGGUAUCCACCAUGCACUCUAUUCGGAGCCCAUGCGACUGAAUGCUACAACCAAAAAAUAAGCCAAGACACAGAGGUUGGAGAUAAAAAGGUAUUUGUGCGCUAGUCCUUAUUUAAGGACAGAGAAUCAGCUGACCAGGUCUAUUUUCUUCAUGUUACCUUUUUUCUGACUUUGCUGAAAUGAUUGUUCUGGAUAUUUUAAGCAAGAUUUCUUUUCAGGGUUUAGGGAAGAAAGAUGGUUAUCUUGCCAGUGGACUACGAGGUGACUCUAAUAAGACUAUCACUAAGUAUUGUGUGUGCCUUUGUAAGCUUUAGCACCGAAGAAAACGUAGCUCUGAAAGCAAUACAUUACAUUGAAACAAGAAGCUUAUGUGCACCUAAAAGAUUUUAGGUAUGACAAAGGAGCUAUUAGAUGAGAACAGACGUUAGCACCAUGUAAGCUAUGGAUAAUUAUGGUGCUAACUAUGGUACUGUGUUGUAAAUAGUUUAUAUUUUCAUGUAUCCACCUUGAUAAAGCCAUACUCCGUAUAUAACUAUGGUGCUAACUAUGGUACUAUGUUUUAAAUAGUUUAUAUUUUUAUACAUCCUCCUUGACAUACUCUGUGUAAUAUAUAAUGUUGUUCUUUGCUGAACAACUAAGAUGAUCCUAUGCUGCUAGUUUGGUCUUUGUGUAAUAUAUACCGUUGGUUGUACUUGACUAUUAAGCGCUCUUAUGUAUCAAAUGUUACCGUUUUUCCAAA